rnacentral:misc_RNA from 1 species
UUGUGGAGGAGGACGCCGAAGGUGGGGCUAAUGACUGGGGUGAAGUCGUAACAAGGUAGCCGUACCGGAAGGUGCGGCUGGAUCACCUCCUAACAGGGAGACAACAAAAUGUUUAAUAUUAUUAUUUUGUCACCUUAGGUCGAUCGGUAUCUCACGUUUUUAAUUUAUUAAGAAUUUCAUUUCCUAAGUUUUUCUAGGUCACACCCAUUAUUUUUCCUGGGCCAUUAGCUCAGGUGGUUAGAGCGCACCCCUGAUAAGGGUGAGGUCCCUGGUUCAAGUCCAGGAUGGCCCAUAUCUCUAUGUUGGGGGUAUAGCUCAGUUGGUAGAGCGCCUGCUUUGCAAGCAGGAUGUCAGCGGUUCGAGUCCGCUUACCUCCACUGAUCACCACCUCUUCCAUAAUCGGUAGAAAGGAAAUUUUUUGAGUUGUGAUCAAAUUCUGAAAGAAUCUAGCUUCCUAAUGAAAGCAUUAAGAUGCUGGACUCAUUGAAUUAAUUUCAUUGUUUUCAGAGAACCUUGACAACUGCAUAGAUUAUUUUUAAAGACAAUAAGCAUCUUUAAUGAUGCAGAUUUAUUAUUUGUGCAAAUGCAUUAAUAACAAUUCUAUUAAGCUGAUGCUUCAAUAUUUGAAGUUAUUGGUCAAGCUACAA